GCCUUCCACCCUCGGAGUGGCUUUGAUGAGGACAAGGCCCUCAGCAGAUGGACCAGAGUACAUGUGAAGAAUAAAAGGGAGAAUGUUCCUGGCGGAUGAACUGAUACACUGAGGAGCUGAAAUACAAACAGGGUGGCUGAAGCACCAAAGAGAAGAAAUGUACGAAGAAGUGAAAUUGUAUUUCCUGUGAGCAUGAACAUAAGAAGAUCCAGAAUAAUACAUAUGGAGGGGCUUUGUCGGUUGUUCAGAAAUUCAUAAAGGAAAGACCUCAG
rnacentral:lncRNA from 1 species